UGCCAGCCGCCGCGGUAACACGGGGGGCGCAAGCGUUAUUCGGAAUUAUUGGGCGUAAAGGGCGCGCAGGCGGUCUUGUCCGUCAGGUGUGAAAGCCCCGGGCUCAACCUGGGAACUGCAUUCGAUACUGGGCAACUAGAGUAUGAGAGAGGGAGGUAGAAUUCCAUGUGUAGCGGUGAAAUGCGUAGAUAUGUGGAGGAAUACCAGUGGCGAAGGCGGCCUCCUGGCUUAAUACAGACGCUGAGGUGCGAAAGCGUGGGGAGCAAACAGGAUUAGAUA
rnacentral:rRNA from 1 species